rnacentral:rRNA from 1 species
CGGGGUGGAGUAAUGUCUGGGAAACUGCCUGAUGGGGGGGGAUAACUGCUGGAAACGGUAGCUAAUACCGCAUAACGUCGCAAGACCAAAGAGGGGGACCUUCGGGCCUCUUGCCAUCGGAUGUGCCCAGAUGGGAUUAGCUAGUAGGUGGGGUAACGGCUCACCUAGGCGACGAUCCCUAGCUGGUCUGAGAGGAUGGCCAGCCACACUGGAACUGAGACACGGUCCAG